UUGUCAGUUUGUCUGUGCUUCUCUAUGGGCUUCUGCAUCUGUGCUUAAAAAAAGAAAUUGUGUACAUUUGUGAAGAAAUUAGUGUGCAGGAGAACUACAGCGGCUGAUACAAAAACACAAAUGGCUCUUUCUAGAACCUUGUGUUUAGUUUGUCCACUCUGGGACACCGUAGAAGCAUGACGGUACAACACGGCGGGUGCUGAGGAAGAGGACCUGCUGCACAUAAAGAUAUGGACCACUCAUUCUAAGUGAGGAAGAGGAGGAGGAGAAGAAACCCCAGGACGAUAAUUUCCAUUCCCAGGAUAGGAUAAGGUCUGAGGAAUGAGAGCUGUCUGUGUACUACACACACCAGUUUGGAACUCCUUUCAUUCACAAGUUGAAGAUAAAAACUGAGGAGCUGUUCCAGGUCUUGAUUUCAAGACUGGAUUCUUGGCCCCAAACCAGUGGAGAAUGACUCAGAGGAAUCAAGAGCAGAAAUAGAGGAGGAGCGGUGGCUGAGCAUUUGCAGUAAGCUGAUGGAGAAAGAUGGGCUGAAGAUGGAGAAGGAAAAGGACGGCCCACUGCCCGGUUUCUACCGGGAGGACGGAGGCUGCCACUGCCCAUCCACCCCUCCUCCUCCGAGAAGCACAAUGGCGCCAUCUUGCAUUGGAGAAAAAAGGAUAUCCACUCAUAGUGUGACCUUCGCCUGCCCCGUGACCCCUUAUGCCACAUCCCUCUAAAUUUUCACUUUGUCACAACAGUGGUUCAGAUCAGUUUUUGACACAUAUCUCAGUUGUUGUCUCUUUGCUGUAGUGAAGUGUGAGCUAAAGUAUUUUUCUGUUUUAUAUAAAACACAUUGCUUAAUAUGUAAAGUUUGUACUCAUUUUGCUAAGAAAUGCUUUGAUAACUUAUUAAAGAUAUACUAUGUUCACUAAUACACUGCUGCACACACCUAGUGGCUCAUAAGUGAUCAUGAAAAGUGAUUACUUUUGUAUGAGUCUUGUUUUUUUAGAAAAAUCCUGCAUAGAAUGGUUUUAAAAAUAUAUGUAGAAAAAUCUUAUAUUGUCAGUCAUUCCAGAUACAUUGCACUGUGUUAUUGUCUACUG